AGCACAAACUGAAACUGCUAGUACUGUGGAGAACCAGCCAGUGGAGGAUCCUCCAUCAUCGAGGUUCACAUGGAGGAUUGACAACAUUUCUAGGCUGAAUGCGAAGAAGGUCUAUUCAGAAGUAUUUGUUGUUGGUGGUUUUAAAUGGCGUGUGCUUAUUUUCCCAAAGGGAAACAA